rnacentral:rRNA from 1 species
UACGAAGGGGGCUAGCGUUGCUCGGAAUCACUGGGCGUAAAGCGCACGUAGGCGGCUUUCUAAGUCAGGGGUGAAAUCCUGGAGCUCAACUCCAGAACUGCCUUUGAUACUGGAGAGCUUGAGUCCGGAAGAGGUGAGUGGAACUCCGAGUGUAGAGGUGAAAUUCGUAGAUAUUCGGGAAGAACACCAGUGGCGAAGGCGGCUCACUGGUCCGGUACUGACGCUGAGGUGCGAAAGCGUGGGGAGCAAACAGG